rnacentral:lncRNA from 1 species
AUAUCGUUGCGACGUUGUAAUGAUCCGGCCGGUCGUUUCGAGAGUUAUAGCCCCGAUCCCCUAUUAACUGCUUCUCUCAUACCUAUUUCUGCUAUUGUGUCCUAUCGGGAGGGUUCGUUUUAGUUUUUGGAGUGUUUUGGAAUACUUAGUCCCUAAAUAGAGGUUUAACCCUUAGGAUUUGGACCACAGUCGAAACUGUGUGAAGCCGACUCUAGAAUGGAGUUCCGUUAGCUCUAUAAGGUGAUUUUGGACUUAUGGGCAUGUCCGGAUAGUGUUUUGGAGGUCUGUAGCUCAUUUAGGCUUGAAAUGGCGAAAGUCAAAGUUUUGGAGAUUUUGACCGGUAGUGGACUUUUUGAUAUCAGGGUCGGUCCCAAUUCCGGAAGUUGGAGUAGGUCCGUAGGGUUGAAUAUGACAUGUGUGCAAAAUGUGGAGUCAAUCGGACGUAGUUUAGUUGGUUUCGGCAUCGGUUGUCGGAAUUGGAAGUUUCAAGUUCUUUAAGUUUGAAUCGAGGGAUGAUUCGUGAAUUUAGCAUUAUUUGAUGUUGUUUGAGGGCUCCUUUCAGCCCAAGCGCUAUAUCGUUGCGAUGUCGUAAUGACCCGGCCGGUCAUUUCGAGAGUUAUAGCCUCGAUCCAUUAUUAACUGCUUCUCUCAUACCUAUUUCUGCUAUUGUGUCUUGCCGGGAGGGUUCGUUUUGGUUUUUGGAGUGUUUUGGAAUACUUAGUCCCUAAAUAGAGGUUUAAGCCUUAGGAUAUGGACCACAGUCGAAACUGUGUGAU